UAUCCUUAGUUCCAUUCCCGCGAGGAGGAACUCUAGGGAGACUGCCGGUGUUAGACCGGAGGAAGGUGGGGACGACGUCAAGUCAUCAUGGCCUUUAUGAGUAGGGCUACACACGUGCUACAAUGGGUGGUACAGAGGGUUGCCAACCCGCGAGGGGGAGCUAAUCUCACAAAGCCAUUCGUAGUCCGGAUUGGAGUCUGCAACUCGACUCCAUGAAGUUGGAAUCGCUAGUAAUCGCAAAUCAGAAUGUUGCGGUGAAUACGUUC
rnacentral:rRNA from 1 species